UAUUCUGUAGCAAGGUUAACCGAAUAGGGGAGCCGGAGGGAAACCGAGUCUUAACCGGGCGUUAAGUUGCAGGGUAUAGACCCGAAACCCGGUGAUCUAGCCAUGGGCAGGUUGAAGGUUGGGUAACACUAACUGGAGGACCGAACCGACUAAUGUUGAAAAAUUAGCGGAUGACCUGUGGCUGGGGGUGAAAGGCCAAUCAAACCGGGAGAUAGCUGGUUCUCCCCGAAAGCUAUUUAGGUAGCGCCUCGUGAAUUCAUCUCCGGGGGUAGAGCACUGUUUCGGCUAGGGGGCCAUCCCGGCUUACCAACCCGAUGCAAACUGCGAAUACCGGAGAAUGUUAUCACGGGAGACACACGGCGGGUGCUAACGUCCGUCGUGAAGAGGGAAACAACCCAGACCGCCAGCUAAGGUCCCAAAGUCAUGGUUAAGUGGGAAACGAUGUGGGAAGGCCCAGACAGCCAGGAUGUUGGCUUAGAAGCAGCCAUCAUUUAAAGAAAGCGUAAUAGCUCACUGGUCGAGUCGGCCUGCGCGGAAGAUGUAACGGGGCUAAACCAUGCACCGAAGCUGCGGCAGCGACACUGUGUGUUGUUGGGUAGGGGAGCGUUCUGUAAGCCUGUGAAGGUGUGUCGUGAGGCAUGCUGGAGGUAUCAGAAGUGCGAAUGCUGACAUAAGUAACGAUAAAGCGGGUGAAAAGCCCGCUCGCCGGAAGACCAAGGGUUCCUGUCCAACGUUAAUCGGGGCAGGGUGAGUCGACCCCUAAGGCGAGGCCGAAAGGCGUAGUCGAUGGGAAACGGGUUAAUAUUCCCGUACUUGGUGUUACUGCGAAGGGGGGACGGAGAAGGCUAUGUUGGCCGGGCGACGGUUGUCCCGGUUUAAGCGUGUAGGUGUGUGUUCCAGGUAAAUCCGGUUCACUUUAACACUGAGGCGUGACGACGAGGCACUACGGUGCUGAAGCAACAAAUGCCCUGCUUCCAGGAAAAGCCUCUAAGCAUCAGGUAACAUCAAAUCGUACCCCAAACCGACACAGGUGGUCAGGUAGAGAAUACCAAGGCGCUUGAGAGAACUCGGGUGAAGGAACUAGGCAAAAUGGUGCCGUAACUUCGGGAGAAGGCACGCUGACACGUAGGUGAAGUGAUUUACUCAUGGAGCUGAA
rnacentral:rRNA from 1 species